rnacentral:sRNA from 1 species
GCCGGGCGCAGUGGCCCACGCUUGUGAUCCCAGCAGCUCUGGAGGCUGAGGCAGGAGGAUCGCAAGUUCAAGGGCAGCCUCAGCAACUUAGCGAGGCCCUGAGCAACUCAGCGAGACCCUGUGUCUA